GAAUAUCAUUAAGAGUUCCGUGAAAGUCACGGAUGCCAACCGAUCCUUCGCAGGGCACGGUGGAAAAAAAAGAUGAGAGGCUCGCACCUAAAAACAAAUAGCGAAUCC
rnacentral:ncRNA from 1 species